GUAUCUGCAAUGAAAAUAUCGACAAGUAUAUACAUGCUGUCUACAUGCGUUUCCAAGAGAAAAGAAGACAUUGGGAAGUUUUACGAGAACCCUUUCUACUUGCAAGUACUCAAUGAGCAUGUAGUGCCUUACUGCCAUGGAUUGACUAAUGCGGAUUACGAAUCUGAAGUAGAAGAUGUAUCAUACCUAUAUUCUGAAAAGGAGAGGUUGGAAGCAACAUCCUUCCCAAUAUUUUAUACCAGCUAGUAUAGAGUUUGAUUCUUGCCUAAUUUGAGAUAUGGAAGUCUAAGUUUGAUAAAAUCACUCGGAAAACACUUUCGCUUCAUUUUUCAGUUGAUCCAGUCGGCAGUGAGAUUAUGUAGCGAAACUUCUUUGAGCUUUGCAGGUCAUUGCAGAAAGCUCUGAGAGUGUGAUUAUAUGCAAACAGAUGCAUGUUUUGGUACUUUUUCU